UUAAUGCGGAAGAACCUUACCUGACCUUGACAUAGUGAGAACCUCUCUGAAGGGAGAGGGUGCCUUCGGGAGCUCACAUACAGGUGCUGCAUGGUUGUCGUCAGCUCGUGUCGUGAGAUGUUGGGUUAAGUCCCGCAACGAGCGCAACCCUUGUCCUUUGUUGCCAGCGGGUAAAGCCGGGAACUCAAAGGAGACUGCCGGUGACAAACCGGAGGAAGGCAGGGAUGACGUCAAAUCAUCAUGCCCCUUACGGUCAGGGCUACACACGUGCUACAAUGGGGCGUACAAAGGGAAGCGAUCCCGCGAGGUGGAGUGAAUCCCACAAAGCGUCCCUCAGUUCGGAUUGGAGUCUGCAACUCGACUCCAUGAAGUCGGAAUCGCUAGUAAUCGCAGAUCAGAAUGUUGCGGUGAAUACGUUCCCGGGUCUUGUACACACCGAA
rnacentral:rRNA from 1 species